rnacentral:miRNA from 1 species
UUGGGUUGGCCAAAAAGUUCAUUUGGGUAUUUUAAUAUCAUUUUUCAGAAAAACCUGAAUGAACAUUUUGGCCAACCUA